AUUGAACGCUGGCGGCAUGCUUUACACAUGCAAGUCGAACGGUAACAGGCCUUCGGGUGCUGACGAGUGGCGAACGGGUGAGUAAUGCAUCGGAACGUACCCAGAGGUGGGGGAUAACGCAGCGAAAGCUGUGCUAAUACCGCAUGUGAUCUGAGGAUGAUAGCGGGGGACCGAGCAGCAAUGUUUGGCCUCGCGCCUUUGGAGCGGCCGAUGUCGGAUUAGCUAGUUGGUGGGGUAAAGGCCUACCAAGGCGACGAUCCGUAGCUGGUCUGAGAGGACGACCAGCCACACUGGGACUGAGACACGGCCCAGACUCCUACGGGAGGCAGCAGUGGGGAAUGUUGGACAAUGGGCGCAAGCCUGAUCCAGCAAUGCCGCGUGCGGGAAGAAGGCCUUCGGGUUGUAAACCGCUUUUGGCAGGAACGAAACGGUGUCCGCUAAUACCGGGCGCUAAUGACGGUACCUGCAGAAUAAGCACCGGCUAACUACGUG
rnacentral:rRNA from 1 species